GCAAACUUGGUCAUUUAGAGGAAGUAAAAGUCGUAACAAGGUUUCCGUAGGUGAACCUGCGGAAGGAUCAUUAAAAGAGAAAAGGUGCCAGAAAUGGUGCCUUCACCCACCCGUGUUUACUGUACCUAUGUUGCUUUGGCGGGUCCGUCAGACCCCUAUUUUGGGGGAUGGCCACCGGCACCUUUGGGUGCUGGUCAGCACCUGCCAGGGGACCUUUAGAACCUGUGUUAACUGUGUACUCUCUGAGUAAUACUGAAAUCAGUCAAAACUUUCAACAAAGGAUCUCUUGGUUCUGGCAUCGAUGAAGAACGCAGC
rnacentral:misc_RNA from 1 species